rnacentral:rRNA from 1 species
UACGAAGGGGGCGAGCGUUGUUCGGAUUUACUGGGCGUAAAGGGCGCGCAGGCGGCUAUCCAAGUCAGGCGUGAAAGCCCCGGGCUUAACCUGGGAGGCGCGUCUGGGACUGGGUGGCUAGAGUUCGGGAGAGGAGAGUGGAAUUCCCAGUGUAGAGGUGAAAUUCGUAGAUAUUGGGAAGAACACCGGUGGCGAAGGCGGCUCACUGGUCCGAUACUGACGCUGAGGUGCGAAAGCGUGGGGAGCAAACAGG